rnacentral:lncRNA from 1 species
GCAAGCUCUGCCUUCUGGGUUCACGCCAUUUUCUUGCCUCAGCCUCUCCGAGUACCUGGGACUACAGGCGCCCGCCACCACGCCCGGCUAAUUUUUUGUGUUUUUAGUAGAGACGGGCUUUCACCGUGGACUCUAUCUCCUGACCUCGUGAUCCGCCCGCAUAGGCCUCCCAAAGUGCUGGGAUUACAAGCGUGAGCAACCGCGCCCGGCCCCCUUCAGGUUUGAUUAACUUAAUGCUCAGUUGGAGGCAUGAAAUACAAGAAGAUGAGCCUUUCCUCAAUCACGGCCUUCUCUUACCUCAUCACUCUCCAAUAAGGGUUAGGGAGUUGGCUCAGAUGUAUAGCUUGAACAGAUAUAGCACUGAACUGAAGAGUACAAUGCCUCUCCUUAUGGGAAUAUGAAUUGUGUGCCUCCAAAAUUCAUAUUAUAGUCCUAACCCCUAGUGCCUUGAAUGUAACUGCAUAUGGAGAAAGAUUUGCCUUUAAAGAAGUAUUAAGGUUAAAUGAGAUAAUAUAGGUAGGCCCUAACCCAGUACGAUUGGUGUCUUUAUAAGAAAAGGUGAUUAGGACACGGACAUACACAGAAGAAAGACCUUGUGAAGACACAAAGGAAGAUGACCACCUACAAAUCAAGGGGCGAGGCUUCAAGAAACCAGCCUUGCUAACACCUUGAUCUUCAACUUCCAAACUCCAGAACUGAGAGGAAAUAGAUUUCCGUUGUUUAUGUCACCCAGUCUGUGGUGCUUUGUUAUGAAGUUUUAGAAAACUAAUGCACUCCCUUAGUUAAAAGAGAACAGCCAGAGGAAGACUUUUUAGAAUGGACUCCCCCAGCCCCAUCCCAGCAUGCGUAGAGGGUGAUUCCAAGCUGCCUGCCAGGAGAGGCAUGCCCAUGGAGGAAGCUCCAAGAGCUGUGUGUACUGGAAACUCACAGGGGCCCUUCAGAGUGGCCAGUGAAGGCUGAAGACAGAUGGUGCUGGGGUCCUUUCAUGUGGUCUUCCCUGAGGCUUUGCAAGCAGUUCCAAUUUGUUUCUUGUAGGCUGAUGCUAAAUUCCGUUCAUUAGCAAGUUUCCCAAUGGCCUAAUUUUAUUGGUUCCUCAGGAGUUCCUCUCUUGCUUUUCAGGCCUCCAGUCAUCUAAAAUGUGGUGUCUUCAGCAAAUUCACUCACCUCAUUAUGUGUGAUCCCUCUUCUAGGCCAUUUAGUCCUUCUCCCAGCUCCUAAUAAAUAAAUACUGAUUCUAAGACCAAAGCCCAAGAGGCCAUACAUUUAAUUGCUUUCCAUGCUGAGAGAGAAUCAUUUAUUAGCGCUGUGCAAAGCACUGUGUUUGAAAACUCCAAACCACAUGAAACGCCACAAGUUUUGAGCCAGAGCCUAACGGAGAAACAGCCAAGUUUCAUCCGAACUUUGUUAGGCCUCAUGACCUUUCACAAAACCUCAAAGCAAACAUAAUUCAGCCCCUGGAUAGGCUCAAACUCUGAGUUGAGUGCUGUCAUUUGUUUGGUUUUGUAGCAGCUGCUUAUAUCACAAAUCCCCACUUCUGGUUAAAAA